AUUCAGUAUGCCUUGAAAGAUUUUGGUAUGCCCAACAUCAUGGUUCUUCUUGAACCGGAUUGUACGUGUUUAAGUUAUAUUCUUCUAGAUGGGCCCGUGGGGAUGGUCUCAUAUACGAGAAACAGAAGGCUACAUUGGCUAAAGCCGAGAUCUCUAGCUCUAAAUGUCUUGUUCACUGCAAUCAGCCUUCGUCUGAGGGGUUGUCGUAGAUAGCAGAAGAAGAAGUUGAAGGUGAGGCUAAAUAUGAAGAAGACGUUCCAUCUCGUAUAGAAGACACGUUCGGUAGAGAUAGCGGUGUAGAAAUUAGUGAAAUAAGUAUUAAUUCCAAAAUUUUACCGGUGAAUGUCCCAAUUGAAGAUGAUUUUGAAGUUCAAGUAGAAGAAGAAUUCGAUUCAUCUCAUGUUGAAGACACCUUUAGUAGAGAUAUUGGUGUACCAAAUAGUGUGAUGAGUAUAAAUUCUAAGAAGUUACCAUUAAAUGCCCCAAUAACCAAGAUGAAGCUUUGAGAAGGAUUUCACUGAUUUUGGAUGACUUCACAACCUGUAGUGGGUGUAUCAUUUAAGCAAUCUGAAAUUGAAGUACACAGGCUAAUGAGUCAAGCAAUUAAAGAUAAAAAAUUCCCACUCGCAGACAUGGAGGAGGCUGGAAGCUUGGAUGCUUUAUUCAAGCUAAGGGAUGAAGAUUUUUGGUAGAGUCUUAUGUCGGUCUAUGGUCCAAAUCUGGAUGUGUUCUAUGAUCAAUUUUGGUGUGAGCUCAAUGAUGCUUUUCUGUUUUGGGGAGAUCUGUGGUGUGUGUGGGGGGAUUUUAACGUGAUCAGGUUUAGUCAUGAGAGAACCGGGGAUCAAAUAGUAACCCAUGAUCGAUAUGAAUAAAUUUGGUGAAUUCAUUGCUCAAUUUGAUCUGAUUGAUCUCCCUCUUGUUGGUUCUUGCUUCACUUGGAGCAGGAACGGUAGUAUGAGUAGAAUUGACCGUUCUCAUAUUUUUCAAGAAUGGGAGGAACAUUUUUUGAGGCUUAAGCAGAAGGUCAUGGUAAGACCUUUUUCUGAUCAUUGCUUUUAGCGCUUUUCUCUGAGGGGGGAGGAUGGAAAGAUAAAAACUUGGUGGGAAUCAGCUUUUUAUUUCAAGGAAAUUUGGGUUUCGUUAUGGCAAAGAAGGUGCAGGUUCUUAAAGCUAAACUUAAGGAGUAUAACAAGAAUGUUUUCGGUAUUCUGGACCGGAAAAUUGAUCAGAAUUUAAUUGACAUUCAGAAUUUGAUAAGAAGGUUCAAGUUAAUGGGGUGUCAGAAGAGACAACUGGAGCUCUUUUGAAAGCUAAAGGAGAAUACCAUAAGCUCUCCAAAAUGCUAGCUAUUUAUUGGAGACAAAAAUCCAGAGUGGACUGGUUGGAUAAUAAUGAAAGAAAUACAAAAUUCUUUCGUAAGUGGGCUUAUCAAAGACAGAGAACCAAUUCUUUCUCUCACCUUAAUGUUGAUAGCUAGCUAACUUCGGAUAAGGAUUAGGUGUUGCAUUGUGAAUUAAUAUACCAACCUGUAUAAUGAGCAAGCUUCAUCAAGAUUUCAACUCGAUGGUACCAAUUUUCCUAGCAUCAACAGCGCCCUAGCUACCGUUUUAGAAAGUGUUUGUGGUGAAGAAGAAGUAUUGAGAGCUAUUAAUGAUUUAGGGAGGCUCUGGGACCUGAGGGUUCCCGAUGAUGGUGUUUUGUAAAUGUUGGCUUUUCAUGAAGGAGGAUAUUUUGUCGGUGGUUCAUGACCUGAUGCUUAAUUCACAUAUUGACUGGAGGUUGAAGUCUACCUUCAUAACCUUGAUUCCAAAGGUCAAUGAGAUAGUCAAUGUCCUUGGUUUUAUACCCAUUAGCUUGAUGGGUAGUGCAAACAACCAAAAUUUUAGCCUCGAGGUUAAAGUUUGUAAUGCUUGACUUGGUGGGAUGCAACCAUAGUGAUUUUUUUGAGCGUCAGACAGAUUUUGGACAGCUCAUUAAUAGCUGAUGAAUGCAUUGAUUCUUACAAUAAGAGGAUGAAGAAAGGAAUUUUGUGCAAGAUUGAUUUCCAGAAAGCUUACGAUAAUGUCUCGUGGGAGUUUUUGGAUUAUACUUUGAUGAGAAUGGGCUUUGGCCAGCUAUAGAGGAGAUGGAUACAAGCUUGCAUCAAAGUUGUCAAUUUCUCGGUUCUAAUUAAUGGAUCUUCUAAUGGUAGAUUUCAGAGUAUAAGGGUCUUAGACAAGGGGAUCCAUUGUCCCCGUUCCUAUUUCUCUUGGUGGCUGAAACACUAAAUUUGAACGCCUGAAAGGCUUAUGAAGUAGGUUGGCUUCAGGGUUUUGAAGUAGUUGAUGGCGGUACUUCUGUUAGUCACCUGCAGUUUGCAGACGACACCCUUGUAUUUAUUCAACCUAACUCAGGUCAGAUUACCCACUAACGAAAUAUUUUCUGAGAUGGUUUGAAGUAAUCUCAGAGCUCAAGAUUAAUUUUAAUAAAACCGUUUUAAUUCCAGUGGGACAAGUCGAGGAUGUUCAGGGGUUUGCUAAUUCUUUUGGUUGCAAGGUUGAGGAAUUCCUUAUCUCUUACUUAGGAUUUCCCCUAGGUGAUAAGUAUUACUCUUCUCACAAGUGGGAUGUGGUUCUUGAGAGCGUCGAGUCAAGGAUGACUUCCUAUUCUUCUACUGAUCUCUCAAGGGGUGGUAAGUUGGUGCUAAAUGCAAGCUGUUCUUCAAGCCCUCCCUGUUUAUAUGAUGUCUCUCUUUGUGGCACCUGUUGCUGUUUCAAUAAGUUGAAAUUGCUCUUCAGGAACUUUUUGUGGAAUGAUCGCGAAAAUGCACACAAAACACAUUUAGUUAACUGGGAAGUGGUUACUUGUCCCAAGGAAAAAGGUGGGUUAGGAGUGAAGCAACUUAAGUUCCUUAACAUGGCUCUGAUUAUGAAUUGGCUUUGGAGAUUUGGGUGUAAAAAAACAGUUUUUUGGAGGAAAAUAGUUGCUAAAGAAUAUGGAGAAAGAUCUGCUGGGUUGGUGUACAAAUACCUCCAAUCAUCCAUAUGGUUGUAGUGUGUGGAGGGGUAUUUUGAAGUUCAUGGAGAAAUUUAAUUCGAAUAUAUGAUGAAUGUAGGCAGUGGUGGGAGUACUUGUUUCUGGGGUGAUCAUUUGCUUGUAGACGGUUUGUUUAAAACUUAAUUCCCCGAUGUCAAUGUGAUGACAUCUUAAAAAAGAAUGAUUAUGGCUAAAGUUAGAACAAGUGUAGAUUGUGAGGUUUCGUGGGACUUGGGAAUCAACAGAAGAGUUCAAGAUCAUGUGAUGAGAGAAAUAAUCUCCCUCUUUAAAUUGCUUGAUGGUUUCUUGUCGGAAGAUGGUAAUGUUGGAAAAUAUAGGAAGUAUGACAAAUACAAGAGACAUGUUAAUGUAAGAAACACCAAAAUUAAAAGUACAUGAUAUUUAGAAUUGUAACUA